rnacentral:rRNA from 1 species
UACGGAGGGAGCUAGCGUUGUUCGGAAUUACUGGGCGUAAAGCGCGCGUAGGCGGAUUGGCAAGUUGGGGGUGAAAUCCCGGGGCUCAACCUCGGAAUGGCCUUCAAGACUGCUGGUCUUGAGUUCGAGAGAGGUGAGUGGAAUUCCGAGUGUAGAGGUGAAAUUCGUAGAUAUUCGGAGGAACACCAGUGGCGAAGGCGGCUCACUGGCUCGACACUGACGCUGAGGUGCGAAAGCGUGGGGAGCAAACAGG